rnacentral:rRNA from 1 species
GGCGGACGGGUGAGUAACACGUGGGUAACCUGCCUGUAAGACUGGGAUAACUCCGGGAAACCGGGGCUAAUACCGGAUGCUUGAUUGAACCGCAUGGUUCAAUUAUAAAAGGUGGCUUUUAGCUACCACUUACAGAUGGACCCGCGGCGCAUUAGCUAGUUGGUGAGGUAACGGCUCACCAAGGCAACGAUGCGUAGCCGACCUGAGAGGGUGAUCGGCCACACUGGGACUGAGACACGGCCCAAACUCCUACGGGAGGCAGCAGUAGGGAAUCUUCCGCAAUGGACGAAAGUCUGACGGAGCAACGCCGCGUGAGUGAUGAAGGUUUUCGGAUCGUAAAACUCUGUUGUUAGGGAAGAACAAGUACCGUUCGAAUAGGGCGGUACCUUGACGGUACCUAACCAGAAAGCCACGGCUAACUACGUGCCAGCAGCCGCGGUAAUACGUAGGUGGCAAGCGUUGUCCGGAAUUAUUGGGCGUAAAGCGCGCGCAGGCGGUUUCUUAAGUCUGAUGUGAAAGCCCCCGGCUCAACCGGGGAGGGUCAUUGGAAACUGGGGAACUUGAGUGCAGAAGAGGAGAGUGGAAUUCCACGUGUAGCGGUGAAAUGCGUAGAGAUGUGGAGGAACACCAGUGGCGAAGGCGACUCUCUGGUCUGUAACUGACGCUGAGGCGCGAAAGCGUGGGGAGCGAACAGGAUUAGAUACCCUGGUAGUCCACGCCGUAAACGAUGAGUGCUAAGUGUUAGAGGGUUUCCGCCCUUUAGUGCUGCAGCAAACGCAUUAAGCACUCCGCCUGGGGAGUACGGUCGCAAGACUGAAACUCAAAGGAAUUGACGGGGGCCCGCACAAGCGGUGGAGCAUGUGGUUUAAUUCGAAGCAACGCGAAGAACCUUACCAGGUCUUGACAUCCUCUGACAACCCUAGAGAUAGGGCUUCCCCUUCGGGGGCAGAGUGACAGGUGGUGCAUGGUUGUCGUCAGCUCGUGUCGUGAGAUGUUGGGUUAAGUCCCGCAACGAGCGCAACCCUUGAUCUUAGUUGCCAGCAUUCAGUUGGGCACUCUAAGGUGACUGCCGGUGACAAACCGGAGGAAGGUGGGGAUGACGUCAAAUCAUCAUGCCCCUUAUGACCUGGGCUACACACGUGCUACAAUGGGCAGAACAAAGGGCAGCGAAGCCGCGAGGCUAAGCCAAUCCCACAAAUCUGUUCUCAGUUCGGAUCGCAGUCUGCAACUCGACUGCGUGAA